AGGGGUAUCGCCAAGCGGUAAGGCAACGGACUUUGACUCCGUCAUACGGUGGUUCGAAUCCACCUACCCCUGCCA
rnacentral:tRNA from 2 species